GAUGAACGCUGGCGGCGUGCCUAAUACAUGCAAGUCGAGCGAACAGACGAGGAGCUUGCUCCUCUGACGUUAGCGGCGGACGGGUGAGUAACACGUGGAUAACCUACCUAUAAGACUGGGAUAACUUCGGGAAACCGGAGCUAAUACCGGAUAAUAUAUUGAACCGCAUGGUUCAAUAGUGAAAGACGGUUUUGCUGUCACUUAUAGAUGGAUCCGCGCCGCAUUAGCUAGUUGGUAAGGUAACGGCUUACCAAGGCGACGAUGCGUAGCCGACCUGAGAGGGUGGUCGGCCCCACUGGAACUGAGACACGGUCCAGACUCCUACGGGAGGCAGCAGUAGGGAAUCUUCCGCAAUGGGCGAAAGCCUGACGGAGCAACGCCGCGUGAGUGAUGAAGGUCUUCGGAUCGUAAAACUCUGUUAUUAGGGAAGAACAAAUGUGUAAGUAACUAUGCACGUCUUGACGGUACCUAAUCAGAAAGCCACGGCUAACUACGUG
rnacentral:rRNA from 1 species